rnacentral:rRNA from 1 species
UACGGAGGAUCCGAGCGUUAUCCGGAUUUAUUGGGUUUAAAGGGUGCGCAGGCGGGAGAUUAAGUCGGCGGUGAAAUUUUGCAGCUUAACUGUAACAGUGCCGUUGAUACUGGGGAGCCAGGAUUUGGUUGCUGUGGGUGGAAUGUGUGGUGUAGCGGUGAAAUGCUUAGAGAUCACACAGAAUAUCGAUUGCGAAGGCAGCUCACAAAGCCAAGAUUGACGCUGAGGCACGAAAGUGUGGGGAUCAAACAGGAUUA